rnacentral:rRNA from 1 species
UACGGAGGGUGCGAGCGUUGUCCGGAAUCAUUGGGCGUAAAGGGCGCGUAGGUGGCGGGACAAGCGUGCGGUGAAAGCCUGGGGCUCAACCCCGGGUCGGCCGUGCGAACUGUUUUGCUUGAGCACUGUAGAGGCAGGCGGAAUUCCGGGUGUAGCGGUGGAAUGCGUAGAGAUCCGGAAGAACACCGAUGGCGAAGGCAGCUCGCUGGGACGGUACUGACGCUGAGGCGCGAAAGCGUGGGGAGCAAACAGG